AGCGACCGGAGGCGAGCGGAGCCGCUGCGGGAGAGGCGGAGCAUCUUGCCGGCGAGAGGGGCGGAGCAUCUUAGCGGCGGGAGAGGAUGGAUCCCGCCUAGCCGCUCCCACAUCAGGUCGCCGCCGUUCUUGCAGUCUGACCGGCGCCGCCACUACUGCCGUUUCGAUCUCCGGCCGAAGACUCUUCUAGAAAUCCAAGAGAUAUCAUUGUAGUACCUACUGCAACAGACAAAAAUAUUUGCCCACUCCACAAAAGGAAGCAAAUCAGUUGGUAAGCUUCCCUGGGUUUUUCUUUUCAAAGGAACAGUCUGGCAUUCUCUCCGACUAAUUCAUUCAGUGGAUGCUUUUGGUCAUUUUUUUAAUUACUCCCUGAUAUCGAACUAUUAUUAUCUGAAAUGCAAAGGCACUUAACAAUUCAAUAGCUUUAUAUUCUCAUUUCAUUGCUAGGCAUCUUGAGACUUUUUGAGUAUACUGGAUGUUGGAACCAAAUUUAAUAUGUUGUUUUUUCAUUUUACAUACUAUAUGCUCCUGUGGGUAUGCAGCUCAUUUCCCAAAAUUUACAAGAAGAUAUAAGCUGUGGGAACGAGAUCUUUUGUUAGUUGAUAGAAACUAACCUGGUACUGAAGUAAUAUUCUUGACAUUGAUAAGAAAAAGUCUCUGGAUCCAGACUGGAUAUAAGUUACCUCAGUUAGUACCUAGUAAUUUUUAUCUCUUGAUAUAUAAGUUAUCUCAUGUAGUAUAAUAUAGAUGGUUGUUGUUAGUUUUUCUAGGCUGUUGUUGUUUGGAUGGAUCAAUGGCUGCUAGACUGUCUGGGCUGUGGUCAAUAGUGUUUAUUGUCGAGCUAGCUGCUCCAUAUCUUGCUCUGGUUUGCUGUCGAGCUAGCUGAUCCAUUUAACAUUUAUUGUAUGCCUUUGCCUAGUGUGAAGUGCCAAUUAAAUUUAGUACUAUUGUUACUUCCUGUUUUGAAUAAUUUAUGUGCAAAGUAGAUGCUUUUGCUCCCUGUUUUGAAUAAUGUAGGUUGCUCCCUGCUUGUGUAUUACUAGUUGGCCCCUGUUUUGAAUAAUUUAUGUGCAAAGUAGAUGCUUUUGGUCAUUUUUUUAAUUACUCCCUGAUAUCGAACUACUAUUAUCUGAAAUGCAAAGGCACUUAACAACUCAAUAGCUUUAUUCUCAUUUCAUAGUUAGGCAUCUUGAGACUUCUAAGCAUACUGGAUGUUGGAACCAAACUUAUUCCAAUGCAAUGUUUUGUUCAGGUUCCGAUUUCCAAAAGCCUCCGCAGCCAACGCUACUGUCUAGUGUGGCACAGAUCGCUGCAGUUUCUACCACUGAUGGCACCUGAGAUGUUUGCUCGCCUCUGUUGUUGAUUGGUGCAACUUGUUACAACAUCUUGUAGUGUCAUGGUUGGUCAGAAUUUGGAAUUUACAACAUUUUGUAGUGUCAUUUUGUAGUAGCACAAAUAUCUGUAUCCUGGGUUCUGAACUAUCAAUGUCACUGCCGUGUUGGACCUGGUAUUGGACCUGAUACGCACGAAUAGUCACAAUGACAUAAAGGUUAUCAAAAUCUCAUAUAAGUUUUAGUUCAGAUUUCAAUGUAAGUGUCGUGUGGCCAAUGGUAUAAAAAUUAAAUCUUUGCUACUUCACGUUGA